rnacentral:rRNA from 1 species
AUACGUAGGGGGCGAGCGUUAUCCGGAUUUAUUGGGCGUAAAGCGUGUGUAGGCGGUUUGUUAAGUUUAAGAUUAAAGCCCGAGGCUUAACCUCGGUUCGUCUUAAAAACUGGCAGACUUGAGUGCAGUAGAGGCAAGUGGAAUUUCUAGUGUAGCGGUUAAAUGCGUAGAUAUUAGAAGGAACACCAGUGGCGAAGGGGGCUUGCUGGGCUGUUCCUGACGCUGAGACACGAAAGCGGGGGGAGAAAAUAGGAUUAGAUACCCUAGUAGUCCACGCCGUAAACGAUGAGUACUAAGUGUCGGGUAACCGGUGCUGAAGUUAACACAUUAAGUACUCCGCCUGAGUAGUACGGUCGCAAGGCUGAAACUCAAAUGAAUUGACGGGG